rnacentral:rRNA from 1 species
CCCUUAGAUGGUCUGGGCGGCACGCGCGCUACAAUGAUGCAUUCAAAAAGUCUUCUGACCUUAGAAGGUUGGGUAUUCUCCAAAGUGCAUCGUGAUGGGAAUAGUUUAUUGCAAUUUUUAAUCUUGAACGAGGAAUUCCUAGUAAGUACAGGUCAUCAACUUGUGUUGAUUACGUCCCUGCCCUUUGUACACACCGCCCGUCGCUCCUACCGAUUGAAUGCUCAGGUGAGCCAUUCGGACUUUCAUCAUGCUGGUUUCCAGUUUUGAUGAAGGAAAGUCUUGCGAACCUUAUCAUUUAGAGGAAGGAGAAGUCGUAACA